AUUGAACGCUGGCGGCAGGCCUAACACAUGCAAGUCGAACGGUAACAGGAAGCAGCUUGCUGCUUUGCUGACGAGUGGCGGACGGGUGAGUCAUGUCUGGGAAACUGCCCGAUGGAGGGGGAUAACUACUGGAAACGGUAGCUAAUACCGCAUAACGUCGCAAGACCAAAGAGGGGGACCUUAGGGCCUCUUGCCAUCGGAUGUGCCCAGAUGGGAUUAGCUAGUAGGUGGGGUAACGGCUCACCUAGGCGACGAUCCCUAGCUGGUCUGAGAGGAUGACCAGCCACACUGGAACUGAGACACGGUCCAGACUCCUACGGGAGGCAGCAGUGGGGAAUAUUGCACAAAGGGCGCAAGCCUGAUGCAGCCAUGCCGCGUGUAUGAAGAAGGCCUUCGGGUUGUAAAGUACUUUCAGCGGGGAGGAAGGGAGUAAAGUUAAUACCUUUGCUCAUUGACGUUACCCGCAGAAGAAGCACCGGCUAACUCCGUG
rnacentral:rRNA from 1 species